CCUACGGGAGGCAGCAGUGGGGAAUUUUGGACAAUGGGCGCAAGCCUGAUCCAGCCAUGCCGCGUGUGGGAAGAAGGCCUUCGGGUUGUAAACCACUUUUGUCAGGGAAGAAACGGCCUUUACUAAUAUUAGGGGCUAAUGACGGUACCUGAAGAAUAAGCACCGGCUAACUACGUGCCAGCAGCCGCGGUAAUACGUAGGGUGCAAGCGUUAAUCGGAAUUACUGGGCGUAAAGCGUGCGCAGGCGGCUUUGCAAGACAGAUGUGAAAUCCCCGGGCUCAACCUGGGAACUGCAUUUGUGACUGCAUGGCUAGAGUACGGUAGAGGGGGAUGGAAUUCCGCGUGUAGCAGUGAAAUGCGUAGAUAUGCGGAGGAACACCGAUGGCGAAGGCAAUCCCCUGGACCUGUACUGACGCUCAUGCACGAAAGCGUGGGGAGCAAACAGGAUUAGAUACCCUGGUAGUCCACGCCCUAAACGAUGUCAACUGGUUGUUGGACGGCUUGUCUGUCAGUACGAGACGUACGCGUGAGUAGACGCCGNGGUAAGGUACGGCCGCGAGUAGUUAACGUUACGAAGUUAGAGUUAGACGGCGNGAGAGNGCGACGGACGACGACGAGGGAGGAGG
rnacentral:rRNA from 1 species